UACGUAGGGGGCUAGCGUUGUCCGGAAUCAUUGGGCGUAAAGCGCGUGUAGGCGGUCCGGUAAGUCCGCUGUGAAAGUCGAGGGCUCAACCCUCGAAUGCCGGUGGAUACUGUCGGGCUUGAGUACGGGAGAGGCGAGUGGAAUUCCUGGUGUAGCGGUGAAAUGCGCAGAUAUCUGGAGGAACACCGGUGGCGAAGGCGGCAUCCUGGACCGGUAUUGACACUGAGGCGCGAAAGCCAGGGGAGCAAACGGG
rnacentral:rRNA from 1 species